rnacentral:rRNA from 1 species
CCUACGGGUGGCUGCAGUCGAGAAUCUUCGGCAAUGGGCGCAAGCCUGACCGAGCGACGCCGCGUGUGGGAUGAAGGCCUUCGGGUUGUAAACCACUGUUAGAGGGGAUGAAAUGCAGGUGGGUUCUCCCACCUGUUUGACAUAGCCUCAGAGGAAGGACGGGCUAAGUUCGUGCCAGCAGCCGCGGUAAGACGAACCGUCCAAACGUUAUUCGGAAUCACUGGGCUUAAAGGGUGCGUAGGCGGCGCGGAAAGUUGGGUGUGAAAUACCUCGGCUUAACCGAGGAACUGCGCCCAAAACUACCGUGCUUGAGGAAGAUAGAGGUGAGCGGAACUUAGGGUGGAGCGGUGAAAUGCGUUGAUAUCCUAAGGAACACCGGUGGCGAAAGCGGCUCACUGGAUCUUUUCUGACGCUGAGGCACGAAAGCUAGGGUAGCGAAC